rnacentral:misc_RNA from 1 species
GAUGAAGAACGUAGCGAAAUGCGAUAAGUAGUGUGAAUUGCAGAAUUCAGUGAAUCAUCGAAUCUUUGAACGCACAUUGCGCCCCUUGGUAUUCCAUGGGGCAUGCCUGUUCGAGCGUCAUUUGUACCUUCAAGCUUUGCUUGGUGUUGGGUGUUUGUCUCGCCUUUGCGUGUAGACUCGCCUUAAAAUAAUUGGCAGCCGGCGUAUUGAUUUCGGAGCGCAGUACAUCUCGCGCUUUGNNNUCAUAACGACAGCGUCCAAAAGUACAUUUUACACUCUUGACCUCGGAUCAGGUAGGGAUACCCGCUGAACUUAAGCAUAUCAAUAAGCGGAGGA